GCCCCUAUGGCGCAAAGGAUAGCGCGUUGGACUUGGAUUCCAAAAGUCGUGGGUUCGAAUCCCACCAGGAGUG